AUAUGUUUAUUUUCCAAAAAGAAAAAAAUCUUGUUCUUAUCAGUUUAAUAUCUGAUACGUCCCCUAUCUGGGGACCAUAUAUUAAAUUGAUUUUUGGAACAGGGAGAUGGAAUAGGGGCUUGCUCCGUCCACUCCACGCAUCGACCUGGUAUUGCAGUACUUCCAGGAGCGGUGCACUUUCU
rnacentral:snRNA from 1 species